UACGUAGGGUGCAAGCGUUGUCCGGAAUUAUUGGGCGUAAAGAGCUCGUAGGCGGUUCGUCACGUCGGCUGUGAAAACCUGAGGCUCAACCUCAGGCCUGCAGUCGAUACGGGCAGACUUGAGUUCGGUAGGGGAGACUGGAAUUCCUGGUGUAGCGGUGAAAUGCGCAGAUAUCAGGAGGAGCACCGGUGGCGAAGGCGGGUCUCUGGGCCGAUACUGACGCUGAGGAGCGAAAGCGUGGGGAGCGAACAGG
rnacentral:rRNA from 1 species